AACGAACGCUGGCGGCAGGCCUAACACAUGCGAGUCGAGCGAGGACUUCGGUCCUAGCGGCGGACGGGUGAGUAACGCGUGGGAACGUGCCCUUUGCUUCGGAAUAGCCCUGGGAAACUGGGAGUAAUACCGGAUGAGCCCUUUGGGGGAAAGAUUUAUCGGCGAAGGAUCGGCCCGCGUUGGAUUAGGUAGUUGGUGGGGUAAUGGCCUACCAAGCCGACGAUCCAUAGCUGGUUUGAGAGGAUGAUCAGCCACACUGGGACUGAGACACGGCCCAGACUCCUACGGGAGGCAGCAGUGGGGAAUCUUAGACAAUGGGGGAAACCCUGAUCUAGCCAUGCCGCGUGAGCGAUGAAGGCCUUAGGGUUGUAAAGCUCUUUCAGCUGGGAAGAUAAUGACGGUACCAGCAGAAGAAGCCCCAGCUAACUCCGUG
rnacentral:rRNA from 1 species